GAUGAACGCUGGCGGCGUGCCUAAUACAUGCAAGUCGAGCGAACAGACGAGGAGCUUGCUCUACUGACGUUAGCGGCGGACGGGUGAGUAACACGUGGAUAACCUACCUAUAAGACUGGGAUAACGGCGGGAAACCGGAGCUCAUACCGGAAAAUAUAUUGAACCGCAUGGUUCAAUAGUGAAAUACGGUUUUGCUGUCACUUAUAGAUGGAUCCGCGCCGCAUGAGCUAGUUGGUAAGGUAACGGCUUACGAAGGCAACGAUGCGUAGCCGACCUGAGAGGGGUAGCGGCCCCGCGGGAGUUGAGACCCGGACCAGACUCGUACGGGAGGCAGCAGUAGGAAGGCUGCCGGAAGGGGCGAAAGCUUGACGAAGCGACGAAGCGUGAGUGAGGAAGGUCUCCGGACCGUAAAACGCCGUUAUUAGGUAAGAACAAAUGGGUAGGUAACAAUGCUCGUCUUGAGGUUACUAGAUCAGAAGGCCCCGCCUACUUAGGU
rnacentral:rRNA from 1 species